GACACGAGAAAUCUUGACUGAACAUGGGGGGACCAUCCUCCAAGGCUAAAUACUCUAUGCUGACCGAUAGUGAACCAGUACCGUGAGGGAAAGGCGAAAAGAACCCCGGCGAGGGGAGUGAAAUAGAACCUGAAAUCUUGUGCUUACAAGCAGUCGGAGCAGACUUGUUCUGUGACGGCGUACCUUUUGUAUAAUGGGUCAACGACUUAAUUUCAGUAGCAAGCUUAACCGUUUAGGGGAGGCGUAGGGAAACCGAGUCUUAAUAGGGCGCUCAGUUGCUGGAAUUAGACCCGAAACCGGGUGAUCUAUCCAUGGCCAGUGUGAAGGUCGAGUAACAUCGACUGGAGGCGCGAACCCACUUAUGUUGAAAAAUGAGGGGAUGAGCUGUGGAUAGGAGUGAAAGGCUAAUCAAACCCGGAGAUAGCUGGUUCUCUUCGAAAACUAUUUAGGUAGUGCCUCGUGUAUUACCAUAGGGGGUAGAGCACUGUUUCGGCUAGGGGGUCAUCCCGACUUACCAAACCGAUGCAAACUCCGAAUACCUACGAGUAUGAGCACGGGAGACAGACUGCGGGUGCUAACGUCCGUAGUCGAGAGGGAAACAACCCAGACUGUCAGCUAAGGUCCCAAAUUAUGAUUAAGUGGGAAACAAUGUGGGAAGGCACAAACAGCUAGGAGGUUGGCUUAGAAGCAGCCAUCCUUUAAAGAAAGCGUAAUAGCUCACUAGUCGAGUCGGCCUGCGUGGAAGAUAUAACGGGGCUAAAUCAUAAACCGAAGCUACAGAUCUUAAAUUUAUUUAAGAUGGUAGAAGAGCGUUCUGUAAGCGGUUGAAGGCAAGCUGAGAGGCGAGCUGGACGUAUCAGAAGUGCGAAUGUUGACAUGAGUAACGAUCAAAGAGGUGAAAAACCUCUUCGCCGAAAAACCAAGGGUUCCUGUCCAACGCUAAUCGAGGCAGGGUGAGGCGGCCCCUAAGGCGAGGGCGAAAGCCGUAGUCGAUGGGAAACAGGUUAAUAUUCCUGUACUUUUUAUAACUGCGAUGGGGUGACGGAGAAGGUUAAACUAGCACGGCGACGGUUGUCCGUGUUUAAGGUUGUAGGCUGGUGUUUUAGGUAAAUCCGGAACACUAAGGCUGAGGACUGAUGACGACCACUCUAUGAGUGGGAAGUAGUCGAUACCAUGCUUCCAGGAAAAACCUCUAAGCUUCAGGUUGUAAGAAACCGUACCCUAAACCGACACAGGUGGUUAGGUCGAGUAGACCAAGGUGUUUGAGAGAACUAUGGUGAAGGAACUAGGCAAAAUAGCACCGUAACUUCGGGAGAAGGUGCGCCGCGUUUGGUGAUGAGACUUGCUCUCUAAGCUGAACGUGGUCGAAGAUACCAGGUGGCUGCGACUGUUUACUAAAAACAUAGCACUCUGCAAACUCGUAAGAGGAAGUAUAGGGUGUGACGCCUGCCCGGUGCCGGAAGGUUAAUUGAUGGGGUUAGCUUCGGCGAAGCUCUUGAUCGAAGCCCCGGUAAACGGCGGCCGUAACUAUAACGGUCCUAAGGUAGCGAAAUUCCUUGUCGGGUAAG
rnacentral:rRNA from 1 species